AGUCGCCGCGGGAAUACGUAGGUGGCAAGCGUUGUCCGGAAUUAUUGGGCGUAAAGGGCUCGCAGGCGGUUUCUUAAGUCUGAUGUGAAAGCCCCCGGCUCAACCGGGGAGGGUCAUUGGAAACUGGGAAACUUGAGUGCAGAAGAGGAGAGUGGAAUUCCACGCGUAGCGGUGAAAUGCGUAGAGAUGUGGAGGAACACCAGUGGCGAAGGCGACUCUCUGGUCUGUAACUGACGCUGAGGAGCGAAAGCGUGGGGAGCGAACAGGAUUAGAUACCCCCGUAGUCCCUGUCUCUUAUACC
rnacentral:rRNA from 1 species